ACAGCCUCCAGAGUGGUGGGAUUACAGUUACAGGCGUGUGCCACCACGCCUGACUUGGUAAGAAACUUUUGUGUGUUUGUAAACCUGAAAGAGGACAUAUGCUUCAUUUUGAGGGGAGCAGGCAAAGUGGAGCUGGGCAGAUCACGUCAUGGCUCCCUAUACUCUAAAACAGUGAGGGCAAACCUUUUAGAGACGGAGCAACCCAAAACUCACUUAACUAUGGCAAAGCGCCAACACUGCAGUUAAACCUGAAUACUGACAACCCGGUGAAAGCGCCCACGGCUGCUCGUGACGUCAUCAUACAGCGCCGCCGCUCCUUUCUGAGCAUGCGCGUGACCCCUGUGUGCAACAUCUGAUGCUGGGCUGCUGGCGAGACUGGGGCGACUUGGCUCGCUUAGGGACAGAGGGCUCUGCCGGCUGCGGCACAGGUGUCAAGUUCGCCACCUCUGCUCUGAAGGCUGUGCUGUGCAGUGUGGUAGCCACUAGCCACCUGCCGGCUGUUUAAAUUUAAAUGAACUGAAGUCUGCUUCCCAAUCUCACUAGCCUUAUUUCAGACGCUCAACGGAGGAAGCUAGUGGCCACCUACUGAGUGGGAAAGAACUAUCCAGGCCACGGAGCUGAACGUGUGGGAAGAGCACCCCGGCCUGCGCUGCUGCCGAGUCCAGUUCCUGAGUCGUACUUUCACGCAUUCGCUGGGAGACGUUCCGUGCCCGACAACAUAGGUGGUGGUAAUGGCAAGAGGAGAAGAAAGAAAGGGAGUGGGGCAGAAGGAUGGGGCAGGAAGUAGAUUUGACCAAAACCCCAAGAAACCCACUCACACCUGUGAAAAACUCAACCUUUAUUAUUACCUGCCUAUCGCAGGGGAUUAAAAUUGCCUCGAGCUAGGUCCAUAUAUUAGUGUAAAAAUCUGUCUCUCCCCCCAAAAAA